GAUGAAGAACGUAGUGAAAUGCGAUAAGUAAUGCGAAUUGCAGAAUUCAGUGAGUCAUCGAAUCUUUGAACGCACAUUGCGCCCUGUGGUAUUCCGCAGAGCAUGCCUGUUCGAGCGUCAUUUCAACCCUCAAGCUCUGCUUGGUGUUGGGCCCUGCCCGCUGCGGCCGGCCCUAAAGACAGUGGCGGUGCCGCCUGGCCCUGAGCGUAGUACAUCUCUCGCUCCAGUGCCCGGUGGUAGCCUGCCAGAACCCCAACUCUCGUGGUUGACCUCGGAUCAGGUAGGGAUACCCGCUGAACUUAAGCAUAUCAAUAAGCGGAGGA
rnacentral:misc_RNA from 1 species